rnacentral:rRNA from 1 species
CCUACGGGUGGCUGCAGUCGAGAAUCUUCCGCAAUGGGGGCAACCCUGACGGAGCGACGCCGCGUGCGGGAUGAAGGCCUUCGGGUUGUAAACCGCUGUCACAGGUUAAGAAGGGCUUGGCGUUAAUAGCGCUAGGCUUUGACGAAGGCCUGAGAGGAAGCCACGGCUAACUUCGUGCCAGCAGCCGCGGUAAGACGAAGGUGGCGACCGUUGUUCGGAAUCACUGGGCAUAAAGAGCACGUAGGCGGCAAGGUAUGUCGGGUGUGAAAUCCCUC